rfam:Stegodyphus mimosarum contig15899, whole genome shotgun sequence.
GCCUUCGUGGUGUAGUAGUCAGGCAUGCUCGACGCGUAACGGAGAGGUCCGUGGUUCGAUUCCCGGCGAAGGCG